UACGGGGGGGGCAAGCGUUGUUCGGAAUUCUGGGCGUAAAGGGCUCGUAGGCGGCCAACUAAGUCGGAUGUGAAAUCCCCAGGCUUAACCUGGGAACUGCAUCCGAUACUGGAUGGCUUGAAUCCGGGAGAGGGAUGCAGAAUUCCAGGUGUAGCGGUGAAAUGCGUAGAUAUCUGGAGGAAUACCGGCGGCGAAGGCGGCAUCCUGGACCGGCAUUGACGCUGAGGAGCGAAAGCUAGGGGAGCAAACGGG
rnacentral:rRNA from 1 species